rnacentral:rRNA from 1 species
UACGUAGGGGGCUAGCGUUGUCCGGAAUCAUUGGGCGUAAAGCGCGUGUAGGCGGCCCGGUAAGUCCGCUGUGAAAGUCGGGGGGCUCAACCCUCGGAUGCCGGUGGAAACUGCCUCGCUAGAGCCGGGAAGAGGAGAGCGGAAUUCCUGGUGUAGCGGUGGAAUGCGCAGAUAUCAGGAAGAACACCCGUGGCGAAGGCGGCUCUCUGGG